GUGAAUCAUCGAAUCUUUGAACGCACAUUGCGCCCGCUGGUAUUCCGGCGGGCAUGCCUGUUCGAGCGUCAUUACAACCCUCAAGCCUCGCUUGGUGUUGGGAGACCGUUGGAUUUAUUCCAACGGCUCCUGAAAUGCAGUGGCGUCUACGUCGACGAACUUUUACGUAGUAACUUAACCUCGUACUAGUGACCGACGCAGCCUGCCGUUAAACCCCCAACUUUUUUUUAGUUGACCUCGAAUCAGGUAGGAAUACCCGCUGAACUUAAGCAUAUCAAUAAGCGGAGGA
rnacentral:misc_RNA from 1 species